rnacentral:rRNA from 1 species
UACGUAGGGGGCAAGCGUUGUCCGGAAUCAUUGGGCGUAAAGAGCGUGUAGGCGGCUCGGUAAGUCCGCUCUGAAAGCCCGGGGCUCAACCCCGGGAGGCGGGCGGAUACUGUCGGGCUAGAGUCCGGAAGAGGCGAGUGGAAUUCCUGGUGUAGCGGUGAAAUGCGCAGAUAUCAGGAGGAACACCGGUGGCGAAGGCGGGUCUCUGGACCGGUUCUGACGCUGAAGCGCGAAAGCGUGGGGAGCAAACGGG